UAGGGAAUCUUCGGCAAUGGACGAAAGUCUGACCGAGCAACGCCGCGUGAGUGAAGAAGGUUUUCGGAUCGUAAAACUCUGUUGUUAGAGAAGAACAAGGACGUUAGUAACUGAACGUCCCCUGACGGUAUCUAACCAGAAAGCCACGGCUAACUACGUGCCAGCAGCCGCGGUAAUACGUAGGUGGCAAGCGUUGUCCGGAUUUAUUGGGCGUAAAGCGAGCGCAGGCGGUUUCUUAAGUCUGAUGUGAAAGCCCCCGGCUCAACCGGGGAGGGUCAUUGGAAACUUGGUGACUUGAGUGCAGAAGAGGAGAGUGGAAUUCCAUGUGUAGCGGUGAAAUGCGUAGAUAUAUGGAGGAACACCAGUGGCGAAGGCGGCUCUCUGGUCUGUUACUGACGCUGAGGCUCGAAAGCGUGGGGAGCAAACAGG
rnacentral:rRNA from 1 species